AACGAUGCCUCUGAUCGCGAGGUGGAAGCUGAAAGGAGCCCUCGGACACGUGUGGACUCUUCCCCCAUCUCUUCCAAUCGCACUUAAUUCUGCUCCUUCUCUUCUCAGCGCGUUCUCACUCUCUUUUGGCCUUGUCAUUCACCCCUCUCGACCGUAGACUGGCCAAUCGGAGCGGCAGGCAGCUGUGACGAGGAUCCCAAAACUUCCCAGCUCUGCUCCAUGGACCGUCGUGAUUGGUUGACGCGAUCGGCUGGAGGUGAUGAUGCCCACAACAGCCAGAGAUUGAUGUGGGGCCAACACCAGCGGUGAGAAUGAGCUCUGGCCUUUGAAGUUGUCCACAUGGAGGGAAAUUGAUAUAUCAGUUUAAGCCCUGGACCCUAUUAAAGGAGCCCCUGUCAGGUUAAUGUGAUAGCCUCCAUGUUACCCCCAGACCCAUUCAGGUCAGCCCUAAUUCCUGCCCCUCGCUCUCUGCAAUCUCAUUUUAGUUUCCCAUCAGCAAUGUUUUUCCAUCAGUGGAGCUCUGCGAGGGAGUAUAUCACGGAGUCAAACACCAGGCCAUCUCUCUCCAGAGUGAUUUAAACCUCCAGCCGGCACGUUAAUCACAGCCAGCGAUUCCCAUGGUUAUUUGUACGGGACGGGCAGUCUUUAAAAGUGGGUUCUGCGGAGGUGUACGCCUACAUAGACAGCGCUCUUUCCCUCGUGUUCCCUUUUCAAUUGGCUCCUCCUCCUUCAAGUCUGGCCUUACUGGGGUCCCCUCCCUCCCCCCCAGUCCCCGUCCCUGUGGCCAAACAGCCGAGCUGGGGGCCUCUGGUCCACAUAGGUGAGCCCAAUCAUCCAUUUUUAAACGUAUGCAGAAAUACACUUACAUUAAAAAUGUAGUGCAGUGUCUUUUUAAUUCAAACACUGUGUAUUUAUUAUUAAACCUUUUGUCUUGGGGGGUCAGCUCACAGGGAAUCAUCUGUCCAUCAGGUUCAGAACGUAUUCGGUCAGAUUGCCCCCACAUUUUUAACGUGUCUGUUAUUCACUUUGAUUUUCUCCCUCUGUCAUAAGUCAUCCGGCUGGUCCCACCGACGGCAUCAAAAAUAAAUGUCGUAUCACCAGAAUAAAACAUGAAUAACAC
ensembl:lncRNA